rnacentral:tRNA from 1 species
GUGACUUUAGUUUAACUAAAAAUGAUGAUUUGUCUAGUCGUUGAUAAUCUUGUGAGAUUAAGUUGCU